GUGAGCGCUGGCGGUAGGCCUAACACAUGCAAGUCGAACGGCAGCACAGUAAGAGCUUGCUCUUACGGGUGGCGAGUGGCGGACGGGUGAGGAAUACAUCGGAAUCUACUUUUUCGUGGGGGAUAACGUAGGGAAACUUACGCUAAUACCGCAUACGACCUACGGGUGAAAGCAGGGGAUCUUCGGACCUUGCGCGAUAGAAUGAGCCGAUGUCGGAUUAGCUAGUUGGCGGGGUAAAGGCCCACCAAGGCGACGAUCCGUAGCUGGUCUGAGAGGAUGAUCAGCCACACUGGAACUGAGACACGGUCCACACUCCUACGGGAGGCAGCAGUGGGGAAUUUUGGACAAUGGGCGCAAGCCUGCUCCAGCCAUACCGCGUGGGUGAAGAAGGCCUUCGGGUUGUAAAGCCCUUUUGUUGGGAAAGAAAAGCAGCAGGUUAAUACCCCGCUGUUCUGACGGUACCCAAAGAAUAAGCACCGGCUAACUUCGUG
rnacentral:rRNA from 1 species